rnacentral:rRNA from 1 species
GGAGUCUAGCGUGUGCGCGAGUCAUUGGGUUUUAAAACCUAAAGGCGCAAUGAAAGUGUCAGGGGGGCCUCCUCAGGGGGGUCUUCCCGGAGGGAGGAUGGGCCACCGCACAACUACUGUCGGAGCCCCGCACUCCCGGGGCGUCUCGUUCUCAUCACGAGUAGAGACGCACCAGAAGCGCACACGCUGGUACCCGAAAGAUGGUGAACUAUGCCUGGCCAGGACGAAGCCAGGGGAAACCCUGGUGGAGGUCCGAAGCGAUUCUGACGUGCAAAUCGAUCGUAUGAGCUGGGUAUAGGGGCGAAAGACCAAUCGAACCAUCUAGUAGCUGGUUCCCUCUGAAGUUUCCCUCAGGAUAGCUGGCUCUCACGAUGAGACGAGUCUCAUCCGGUAGAGCGAAUGAUUAGAGGUGAUGGGGUCGAAACGACUUCAACCUAUUCUCAAACUCCCAAUAGAUGAGAGCCCCGGCUUGCUUAAAAGUGAAGCCGGGGACUCGGAUCAGAGGGCCAAGUGGGCCAAUUUUG